rnacentral:rRNA from 1 species
GACGAACGCUGGCGGCGUGCUUAACACAUGCAAGUCGAACGGACAGGCCCUGCUUUUGUGGGUUGCUCGAGUGGCGAACGGGUGAGUAACACGUGAGUAACCCGCCCUUGACUUUGGGAUAACUUCUGGAAACUGGGGCUAAUACCGGAUAUGAGCUCCUGCUGCAUGUUGGGGGUUGGAAAGUUUCGGCGGUGGGGGAUGGACUGGCUGCUUACGCGCUUGUUGGUGAGGUUGUGGCUUACCCAGGCUUUGACGGGUAGCCGGCCUGAGAGGGUGAACGGCGACAUUGGGACUGCGAUAGGGACCAGAAGGCUACGGGAGGCAGCAGUGGGGAAUAUUACGCAACAGGCGGAAGCGUGUGAUAGAAGUGCCGCGUGCGUAAUGACGGCUUACGGGUUGUAAACAGAUUUGGAAGGAGACGAGGAGGGAGUGACGGUAAUGGGUAAGGAAGCACCGGCUAACUACGUG